rnacentral:rRNA from 1 species
AGAGUUUGAUCCUGGCUCAGAUUGAACGCUGGCGGCAUGCUUUACACAUGCAAGUCGGACGGCAGCACAGGGAAGCUUGCUUCUCGGGUGGCGAGUGGCGAACGGGUGAGUAACAUAUCGGAACGUACCGGGUAGCGGGGGAUAACUGAUCGAAAGAUCAGCUAAUACCGCAUACGUCUUGAGAGGGAAAGCAGGGGACCUUCGGGCCUUGCGCUAUCCGAGCGGCCGAUAUCUGAUUAGCUGGUUGGCGGGGUAAAGGCCCACCAAGGCGACGAUCAGUAGCGGGUCUGAGAGGAUGAUCCGCCACACUGGGACUGAGACACGGCCCAGACUCCUACGGGAGGCAGCAGUGGGGAAUUUUGGACAAUGGGCGCAAGCCUGAUCCAGCCAUGCCGCGUGUCUGAAGAAGGCCUUCGGGUUGUAAAGGACUUUUGUCAGGGAAGAAAAGGCCGUUGCCAAUAUCGGCGGCCGAUGACGGUACCUGAAGAAUAAGCACCGGCUAACUACGUGCCAGCAGCCGCGGUAAUACGUAGGGUGCGAGCGUUAAUCGGAAUUACUGGGCGUAAAGCGGGCGCAGACGGUUACUUAAGCAGGAUGUGAAAUCCCCGGGCUCAACCCGGGAACUGCGUUCUGAACUGGGUGACUCGAGUGUGUCAGAGGGAGGUGGAAUUCCACGUGUAGCAGUGAAAUGCGUAGAGAUGUGGAGGAAUACCGAUGGCGAAGGCAGCCUCCUGGGAUAACACUGACGUUCAUGUCCGAAAGCGUGGGUAGCAAACAGGAUUAGAUACCCUGGUAGUCCACGCCCUAAACGAUGUCAAUUAGCUGUUGGGCAACUUGAUUGCUUGGUAGCGUAGCUAACGCGUGAAAUUGACCGCCUGGGGAGUACGGUCGCAAGAUUAAAACUCAAAGGAAUUGACGGGGAUCCGCACAAGCGGUGGAUGAUGUGGAUUAAUUCGAUGCAACGCGAAGAACCUUACCUGGUUUUGACAUGUGCGGAAUCCUCCGGAGACGGAGGAGUGCCUUCGGGAGCCGUAACACAGGUGCUGCAUGGCUGUCGUCAGCUCGUGUCGUGAGAUGUUGGGUUAAGUCCCGCAACGAGCGCAACCCUUGUCAUUAGUUGCCAUCAUUCGGUUGGGCACUCUAAUGAGACUGCCGGUGACAAGCCGGAGGAAGGUGGGGAUGACGUCAAGUCCUCAUGGCCCUUAUGACCAGGGCUUCACACGUCAUACAAUGGUCGGUACAGAGGGUAGCCAAGCCGCGAGGCGGAGCCAAUCUCACAAAACCGAUCGUAGUCCGGAUUGCACUCUGCAACUCGAGUGCAUGAAGUCGGAAUCGCUAGUAAUCGCAGGUCAGCAUACUGCGGUGAAUACGUUCCCGGGUCUUGUACACACCGCCCGUCACACCAUGGGAGUGGGGGAUACCAGAAGUAGGUAGGGUAACCGCAAGGAGCCCGCUUACCACGGUAUGCUUCAUGACUGGGGUGAAGUCGUAACAAGGUAGCCGUAGGGGAACCUGCGGCUG